AACGAACGCUGGCGGCAGGCUUAACACAUGCAAGUCGAGCGCCCCGCAAGGGGAGCGGCAGCCGGGUGAGUAACGCGUGGGAACGUACCUUUUGGUUCGGAACAACUCCGGGAACCUGGAGCUAAUACCGGAUAAGCCCUAACGGGGAAAGAUUUAUCGCCGAAAGAUCGGCCCGCGUCUGAUUAGCUAGUUGGUGAGGUAACGGCUCACCAAGGCGACGAUCAGUAGCUGGUCUGAGAGGAUGAUCAGCCACACUGGGACUGAGACACGGCCCAGACUCCUACGGGAGGCAGCAGUGGGGAAUAUUGGACAAUGGGCGCAAGCCUGAUCCAGCCAUGCCGCGUGAGUGAUGAAGGCCUUAGGGUUGUAAAGCUCUUUUGUCCGGGAAGAUAAUGACUGUACCGGAAGAAUAAGCCCCGGCUAACUUCGUG
rnacentral:rRNA from 1 species